GACGAACGCUGGCGGCGUGCUUAACACAUGCAAGUCGAACGGAAAGGCCCUGCUUGCAGGGUACUCGAGUGGCGAACGGGUGAGUAACACGUGGGUGAUCUGCCCUGCACUUCGGGAUAAGCCUGGGAAACUGGGUCUAAUACCGGAUAGGAGCCAUUUUUAGUGUGAUGGUUGGAAAGUUUUUUCGGUGUAGGAUGAGCUCGCGGCCUAUCAGCUUGUUGGUGGGGUAAUGGCCUACCAAGGCGGCGACGGGUAGCCGGCCUGAGAGGGUGGACGGCCACAUUGGGACUGAGAUACGGCCCAGACUCCUACGGGAGGCAGCAGUGGGGAAUAUUGCACAAUGGGCGCAAGCCUGAUGCAGCGGCGCCGCGUGGGGGAUGACGGCCUUCGGGUUGUAAACUCCUUUCGCUAGGGACGAAGCUUUUUGUGACGGUACCUAGAUAAGAAGCACCGGCUAACUACG
rnacentral:rRNA from 1 species